AUCAACGCUGGGCGGCGUGCCUAACACAUGCAAGUCGAACGAGAAGUGGAGCAAUCCAUGAGUAAAGUGGCGACCGGGUGAGUAACACGUGACUAACCUACCCUAAAGUGGGGGAAUAACUCCGGGAAACCGGGGCUAAUACCCUGCAUAAUAUCGACUGCUUCGAAGGAGCGACGAUCAAAGCAGCAAUGCGCUUUAGGAGGGGGUCGCGGCUGAUUAGCUAGUUGGCGGGGUAACGGACCCACCAAGGCGAAGAUCGGUAUCCGGCCUGAGAGGGCGCACGGACACACUGGAACUGAAACACGGUCCAGACUCCUACGGGAGGCAGCAGUGGGGAAUUUUGCGCAAUGGGGGAAACCCUGACGCAGCAACGCCGCGUGGAGGAUGAAGUCCCUUGGGACGUAAACUCCUUUCGACCACGACGAUAAUGACGGUACUGGUGGAAGAAGCACCGGCUAACUCUGUGCCAGCAGCCGCGGUAAUACAGAGGGUGCGAGCGUUGUUCGGAAUUAUUGGGCGUAAAGGGCGCGUAGGCGGUGCCACAAGUCACUGUGGAAAUCUCCGGGCUUAACCUCGGAGCACUGCAGGCGAAACUGUGGUAGCUGGAGUAUGGGAGAGGUGCGUGGAAUUUCCCGGUGUAGCGGUGAAAUGCGUAGAUAUCGGGAGGAACACCUGUGGCGAAAGCGGGCGCACCUGCGACCAUAACUGACGCUGAGGCGCGAAAGCUAGGGGAGCAAACAGGAUUAGAUACCCUGGUAGUCCUAGCCCUAAACGAUGAUUGCUUGGUGUAGCAGGUAGCCCAAUCCUGCUGUGCCGCAGCUACCUACGCGAUAAGCAAUCCGCCUGGGGAGUACGGUCGCAAGGCUGAAACUCAAAAGGAAUUGACGGGGGGCCCGCACAAGCGGUGGAGCAUGUGGUUCAAUUCGACGCAACGCGAAGAACCUUACCUGGGCUCGAAGCGCAGUGGAACCGGGGUAGAAAUAUCCCUUCCCCUUAAAAGGCUGCCUGCGGAGGUGCUGCAUGGCUGUCGUCAGCUCGUGUCGUGAGAUGUUGGGUUAAGUCCCGCAACGAGCGCAACCCUUAUCCCUAGUUGCCAUCGGGUCAAGCCGGGCACUCUAGUGAAACUGCCUCGGAUAACGAGGAGGAAGGUGGGGAUGACGUCAGUCAUCAUGGCCUUUAUGUCCAGGGCUACACACGUGCUACAAUGGUCGGUACAAACCGUCGCAAACCCGUGAGGGGGAGCUAAUCGGAAAAAGCCGGCCUCAGUUCGGAUUGGAGUCUGCAAACUCGACUCCAUGAAGCUGGAAUCGCUAGUAUAUCCGCGGAUCAGAAACGCUCGCGGUGAAUACGUUCCCGGGCCUUGUAGCACACCGCCCGUCACAUCACGAAAGUGGGCCCGUACUAGAAGCAGGUGUGCUACACCGCAAGGAGGCAGCCUUCCAAGGUACAGCUCAUGAUGGGGUG
rnacentral:rRNA from 1 species